AAUGAACGUUGGCGGCAUGGAUUAGGCAUGCAAGUCGCGCGAUAAGAUUCCUUCGGGAAUCCGAAAGCGGCGAAAGGGAGAGUAACGCGUAGAUGAUCUACCCCGAGGACUGGGAUAGCGGCGGGAAACUGCCGGUAAUACCAGAUGAUGUCUCCGGACCAAAGGUGUGAUUCCGCCUUGGGAUGAAUCUGCGUCCUAUUAGCUAGUUGGUGAGGUAACGGCUCACCAAGGCGAAGAUGGGUACCGGGUGUGAGAGCAUGACCCGGCUCACUGGGACUGAGACACUGCCCAGACACCUACGGGUGGCUGCAGUCGAGAAUCUUCGGCAAUGGGCGAAAGCCUGACCGAGCAAUGCCGCGUGCGGGAUGAAGGCCUCGGUUGUAA
rnacentral:rRNA from 1 species